rnacentral:rRNA from 1 species
UACGUAGGGCGCAAGCGUUAUCCGGAAUUAUUGGGCGUAAAGAGCUCGUAGGCGGUUUGUCGCGUCUGCUGUGAAAUCCGGGGCUCAACCCCGGACUUGCAGUGGGUACGGGCAGACUAGAGUGUGGUAGGGGAGACUGGAAUUCCUGGUGUAGCGGUGAAAUGCGCAGAUAUCAGGAGGAACACCGAUGGCGAAGGCAGGCCUCUGGGCCACUACUGACGCUGAGAAGCGAAAAGCAUGGGGAGCGAACAGG